AACGGCUGGCGGCAGGCCUAACACAUGCAAGUCGAGCGCCCCGCAAGGGGAGCGGCGGACGGGUGAGUAACGCGUGGGAACGUGCCCUUUGGUACGGAAUAGCCCCGGGAAACUGGGAGUAAUACCGUAUAAGCUCUUCGGAGGAAAGAUUUAUCGCCAAAGGAUCGGCCCGCGUUGGAUUAGGUAGUUGGUAGGGUAAUGGCCUACCAAGCCUACGAUCUAUAGCUGGUCUGAGAGGAUGAUCAGCCAGACUGGGACUGAGACACGGCCCAGACUCCUACGGGAGGCAGCAGUGAGGAAUCUUCCACAAUGGGCGAAAGCCUGAUGGAGCAACGCCGCGUGCAGGAUGAAGGCCUUCGGGUCGUAAACUGCUUUUAUAAGUGAAGAAUAUGACGGUAACUUAUGAAUAAGCACCGGCUAACUACGUG
rnacentral:rRNA from 1 species